GACGACGGUGGCGAGCGUUGUUCGGAAUCACUGGGCAUAAAGCGCACGUAGGCGGUGUCGUAAGUCGGGUGUGAAAUCCCUCGGCCUAACCGAGGAACUGCGCCCGAUACUGCGAUGCUUGAGGACCAGAGGGGUGCAUGGAAUUUCCGGUGGAGCGGUGAAAUGCGUUGAUAUCGGAAGGAACUCCGGCGGCGAAAGCGAUGCACUGGCUGGUUUCUGACGCUGAGGUGCGAAAGCCAGGGGAGCAAACGGG
rnacentral:rRNA from 1 species